rnacentral:tRNA from 1 species
GGGAUUGUAGUGUAGCUUGGCAGCGGCAAACUUGGCGUUUGCCUGGUUGCCGUUGAGCAAUAUCACUGGCGGUUCGGGGCCGCCCAACCGGGGUUCGAAUCCUCGCAAUCCCA